GUCCUUGACCUUGGUGAGCCUUCAUUGUGUGUCCCCGAAUGAGCUUUCUCUACCUUUUACCGCAGCAGCAACUCCUAAUAUUCUCUCAUUCUCCAUAAUAAAAAUACUCAGCUUUCUCCAUGCUCCUACACCUCAGAGCCCACCACUGCCAGCACAAUUAAAUGACCUCAUCCCCUGCUUCUGUGAAAAACACGAUUUUUCCAAAAAAUGAGAAAAACAGAAGCCAGCAGACCAGCAGUCCCCACUGGGAUUCUGCCAACAAGUCUGUGACAUCUGACCAGCAUCUGUCCUUUCUUCAUUUCCUCCAGGGAUUGGGGCUCUGGGGAGGACAGCGGUUAGACGGUGCCAGGCCACCCCAUCCAGAAGGAAGGCCGGGACCUCCAGAGCCAGCUAUUGCGUAGCAAUACAAAUUCUGUGUAAGAUCUGGAGUUCCUGUCUUGGCGCAGCGGAAUCGAAUCCGACUAGGAGCCAUGAGGUUGCAGGUUUGAUCCUUGGCCUCGAUCCAUGGGUUAAGGAUCUGGCAUUGCCGUGAGCCGUGGUGUGGGUCCAAGACACAGCUCAGAUCUGGUGUUGCUGUGGCUGUGGUGUAGGCCGGCAGCUGCGUCUCAGAUUCCACCCCUAGCCUGGGAACCUCCAUAUGCUGUGGGUGCAGCCGUAAAAAGACAAAACACUAAAAAAAAAAAUAUGUACACACACACACACACACACGUAUAUAUACUGUGUAAAAUCUCUGCCUUUCCACUCUGGUGGGGGACUCACUAACGUUUUCUUUAGGGUUCAAAUCUACUCUCUGCAGCCUCAGACUUGGCCAUUGCUAACCCAGCGCCUAUGCGCUGGGCCCCACGUCUUCUCGCCUUCCCAGGGACUUGGGUGGGUCGCUUCUCUGGUAACCUCAGCCUCGACUGGCUCCUUCCACCGUGAGAGACGCUCAACUCUCUCAUCUUGGGAAUUCCUUUCUGUGAUCCUACCUACUGUCCUGUUAUCUCUUUGUCUUCAGGGCAAAAUAUUUCCCUUCUGUCUUUCUUCUCUACCUUUCCUCCCUCCCUCCUCCUUUCAUUUUUUUCCCUGUAGCAACCAUUGCAUUCCUACUAUGUGCCAGGCACUGUCCUAGGAUACACAGACAGGAUAUAUCAGUGAACCACAAAACCCACAAAGAUCCCUGCCCCUUAGGGCUGUCCUUCUGGAGAGGCGAGAGAGCCUACUCAUAAAUAUAAUGAAACAUUUAUGCUAAACUUACAUGAAGAAGUAAGGCAGCUAGAGGGAGUGAGGAAGCAAACGGGUGCUCAGCCGUGGUCCGGAGUGUCUCAGGGACAUAGACGCCUCCUUAGGAGAGGGAUGGGGCCUCAGGGAGGAAAGUUCCCGGCAGAAGGAACAGCCAGUGCGGAGGCUUUAUGACAGCAGGGUCGGGCCUGUUGGGUGAGAACCAAGAGUCUACGGAUGGGACAGCCAGGGAUGGGGUGGGCAGUAGGGCUCCAAGGACUGGAGAGAGGAGAGUGUUGGUUGGAUCCAGAGGUCGGGGUGUCAUCCCGUCCUAGUCCAUUUAAUGUGUAAAAUAGUGGAGUUCCCAUCGUGGCUCAGUGGUUAGUGAACCCAACUAGGAACCAUGAAGACGCAGGUUUGAUCCCUGGCCUCGCUCAGUGGGUUAAGGAUCCGGCAUUGCCGAGAGCUGUGGUGUAGGUCAUAAACGUGGCUCAGAUCUGGCAUUGCUGAGGCUGUGGUGUAGGCUGGCGGCUGCAGUUCCAAUUCGACCCCUAGCCUGGGAACCUCCAUAUGCUGGGGGUGCGGCCAUAAAAAAAAAAGGAAAGGAAUUAUCUGCCACAGCUGAACAUUUUGGGAGUAGUCUAAUCUUAGUUACAGUUUGGUCCAAGAUUUAGACUUUAAUCUGUCACCACGCUCCAUCUCGUAGUUCUGCCUCCUCCGUGUCAGCUUGAUCUCCAGGUUGCCCCUCCUGGGACAGAACCAUGACUGCAGCAGCUUCUGAGCAUCAUGUGAUGACACUAGGAAAUCCAGCAAAGAGGACAUUUUCUGCAAAGCUCCAGCAAAUAGUACACUGGGUCUUAUCGACUCAUUCCUGAGCUCCCAGCGGAGACCAAGGGAUUGGACACGCUAAGGAAUUUAGGCCAAUCCAAGGUCAACUCCACACCGACUACACUGGUUGAAAGAAGGGACAGAAUAAAGGGAGGAAAUAGGUGAGAAAACACCUUCAGUGGCUUAAAACAUUUUACUCUCCUUUGCUCUCUACAUAAAUGAGUUUUGUUGUUGUUUGGGGGGGGCAGGGUUUUUUGUUUGUUUGUUUGUUUGUUUUUUGAUGAUUGGGAUUUGUGGUGGAUAAUUCUCUAAUGCAAACCCUUGACUGAGGAAAGGAUGCGUUCAGGUAAGGGACUCACACCUGGAGCCAUGGCGCCUCCGUCACUCCGAUCACCCUCAUCGGUGGCUCCAGCGCCCUGUCUGAUACCCUCUCCUCACUCCUCCAGCCUCAGCCUGCUCAUCUUUUCCUACUCGAAUGUCUGCACAUGCGGAAGUUCCCUGGCCAGGGACCAAGCCCACACCACAGCUGCAGCACUGCUGGAUCCUUAACCCAGCGAGCCACGAGUGAACGUCCUCAAUUUUCUUUCUUGCCUUCUUUCUUUCUUUUUCUUUCUUUCUUUCUUGUUUUUUAGAGCUGCACCCACGGCAUAUGGCAUUUCCCAGUCUAGGGAUCAAAUCGGAGGUGUGGCUGCUAGUCCACAGCAACUCGGGAUCCAAGCCGUGUCUGCAUCCUACACCACUGCUCACAGCAACGGUGGAUCCCUGACCCAGAGGCCAGGGGUCAAACCCUCAUCCUCAUGGAUACUAGUCAGAUUCGCUUCCGCUGCACCACAGCGGGAACUCCCUCCGUUUCUAAAUGAGUCCAUUUCUUUUUGCCCUUGAGCAGAUGUUGUUUCCUGAUGUUCAAUCAUGCUUCAUGUAGGCAGUGUAUUGGUGGUACCUGAUUUUAUGUGUCAACUUAACUGUGCCAUGGUGCCCAGAUAUGGGGUCAAACAUCAUUCUGGAUGUUUCUGUAGGGGUGUUUUGGGAAGAGAGUAACAUUUAAAUCGGUAGAUUUUGAGGAAAGCAAGUUGCCCUCUGUAAUGUGAGUGGGCCUCCUCCCAGCCGGAGGCCUAAACAGAACAAGACGGACCUCCCCAGAGCAGGAGGAAAUUCUUCCAGCAGACAGCCUUCGGGUUUGAACUGCAGCACCACCUCUUCCUGGGUCUGCAGGCUGCAGGCCCAUCCUGCAGAUUUUGGACUUGCCAGCCUCCAUAAUCAUGUAAGCCAAUGUCUUAAAACGAAUAUAUAGAUAUAUAUCCUAUUGGUUCUGUUUCCCUGAAGAAUUCUAAUACAAGUAGAUUAGCAAAAAUGAAG
rnacentral:lncRNA from 1 species